AGGCGUGCGAUACAGGGUGACAGCCCCGUACACAAAAAUGCACAUGCUGUGAGCUCGAUGAGUAGGGCGGGACACGUGGUAUCCUGUCUGAAUAUGGGGGGACCAUCCUCCAAGGCUAAAUACUCCUGACUGACCGAUAGUGAACCAGUACCGUGAGGGAAAGGCGAAAAGAACCCCGGCGAGGGGAGUGAAAAAGAACCUGAAACCGUGUACGUACAAGCAGUGGGAGCACGCUUAGGCGUGUGACUGCGUACCUUUUGUAUAAUGGGUCAGCGACUUAUAUUCUGUAGCAAGGUUAACCGAAUAGGGGAGCCGAAGGGAAACCGAGUCUUAACUGGGCGUUAAGUUGCAGGGUAUAGACCCGAAACCCGGUGAUCUAGCCAUGGGCAGGUUGAAGGUUGGGUAACACUAACUGGAGGACCGAACCGACUAAUGUUGAAAAAUUAGCGGAUGACUUGUGGCUGGGGGUGAAAGGCCAAUCAAACCGGGAGAUAGCUGGUUCUCCCCGAAAGCUAUUUAGGUAGCGCCUCGUGAAUUCAUCUCCGGGGGUAGAGCACUGUUUCGGCAAGGGGGUCAUCCCGACUUACCAACCCGAUGCAAACUGCGAAUACCGGAGAAUGUUAUCACGGGAGACACACGGCGGGUGCUAACGUCCGUCGUGAAGAGGGAAACAACCCAGACCGCCAGCUAAGGUCCCAAAGUCAUGGUUAAGUGGGAAACGAUGUGGGAAGGCCCAGACAGCCAGGAUGUUGGCUUAGAAGCAGCCAUCAUUUAAAGAAAGCGUAAUAGCUCACUGGUCGAGUCGGCCUGCGCGGAAGAUGUAACGGGGCUAAACCAUGCACCGAAGCUGCGGCAGCGACGCUGAUGCGUUGUUGGGUAGGGGAGCGUUCUGUAAGCCUGCGAAGGUGUGCUGUGAGGCAUGCUGGAGGUAUCAGAAGUGCGAAUGCUGACAUAAGUAACGAUAAAGCGGGUGAAAAGCCCGCUCGCCGGAAGACCAAGGGUUCCUGUCCAACGUUAAUCGGGGCAGGGUGAGUCGACCCCUAAGGCGAGGCCGAAAGGCGUAGUCGAUGGGAAACAGGUUAAUAUUCCUGUGCUUGGUGUUACUGCGAAGGGGGGACGGAGAAGGCUAUGUUGGCCGGGCGACGGUUGUCCCGGUUUAAGCGUGUAGGCUGGUUUUCCAGGCAAAUCCGGAAAAUCAAGGCUGAGGCGUGAUGACGAGGCACUACGGUGCUGAAGCAACAAAUGCCCUGCUUCCAGGAAAAGCCUCUAAGCAUCAGGUAACAUCAAAUCGUACCCCAAACCGACACAGGUGGUCAGGUAGAGAAUACCAAGGCGCUUGAGAGAACUCGGGUGAAGGAACUAGGCAAAAUGGUGCCGUAACUUCGGGAGAAGGCACGCUGAUAUGUAGGUGAAGUCCCUCGCGGAUGGAGCUGAAAUCAGUCGAAGAUACCAGCUGGCUGCAACUGUUUAUUAAAAACACAGCACUGUGCAAACACGAAAGUGGACGUAUACGGUGUGACGCCUGCCCGGUGCCGGAAGGUUAAUUGAUGGGGUCAGCGCAAGCGAAGCUCUUGAUCGAAGCCCCGGUAAACGGCGGCCGUAACUAUAACGGUCCUAAGGUAGCGAAAUUCCUUGUCGGGUAAGUUCCGACCUGCACGAAUGGCGUAAUGAUGGCCAGGCUGUCUCCACCCGAGACUCAGUGAAAUUGAACUCGCUGUGAAGAUGCAGUGUACCCGCGGCAAGACGGAAAGACCCCGUGAACCUUUACUAUAGCUUGACACUGAACAUUGAGCCUUGAUGUGUAGGAUAGGUGGGAGGCUUUGAAGUGUGGACGCCAGUCUGCAUGGAGCCGACCUUGAAAUACCACCCUUUAAUGUUU
rnacentral:rRNA from 1 species